AGUGAACGCUGGCGGCAGGCCUAACACAUGCAAGUCGAACGGCAGCACAGUAAGAGCUUGCUCUUACGGGUGGCGAGUGGCGGACGGGUGAGGAAUACAUCGGAAUCUACUUUUUCGUGGGGGAUAACGUAGGGAAACUUACGCUAAUACCGCAUACGACCUACGGGUGAAAGCAGGGGAUCUUCGGACCCUGCGCGAUUGAAUGAGCCGAUGUCGGAUUAGCUAGUUGGCGGGGUAAAGGCCCACCAAGGCGACGAUCCGUAGCUGGUCUGAGAGGAUGAUCAGCCACACUGGAACUGAGACACGGUCCAGACUCCUACGGGAGGCAGCAGUGGGGAAUAUUGGACAAUGGGCGCAAGCCUGAUCCAGCCAUACCGCGUGGGUGAAGAAGGCCUUCGGGUUGUAAAGCCCUUUUGUUGGGAAAGAAAAGCAGCAGGUUAAUACCCCGCUGUUCUGACGGUACCCAAAGAAUAAGCACCGGCUAACUUCGUG
rnacentral:rRNA from 1 species